ACAUGUAAUCCAGUAGCAUUUUUUAUCAAAUGAAAAUAUACUGAGGUGUAUAUGUAUACCUACAUCAGGAGAUCCUCGUGGAUAGAUGGAUUGUAGCCCACCUCUUUAUGGACCUAGGGAUAUAAAACAACAACAUAAUAUGUACUGAAUUGCUCUUAUCUCAAGAAUAUACCUUAUUUUCACAUACUCAUUCACAACUCCCUAUUUAUUCAUAAAUCGGCUACGAGCUAUAUUACGUUUCCGCUUAAUACAUAAAAAAUUUGAUAUUUUCUCCUUAAGAAUGAAAGAAUAAUGAAUAUAGAUUGGGAAAAUAAGAAAUAUUGUUCAAAUUACCAACAACAACAAAAGGCACACGUUAAAAAAUGCUUAGGAUUUACAACCAAAUAUAUAUGAACUCCCUUUUCUUUUCUUUUGUAAUAUUAAGAGCACUGCAUGUACCCACGCUCGUUGUUACAAAAGUCCUCAGCUAAUAUUCUAUACAACUUCCCAAAGUAACUUGAAAUACAAGGUAUGUCAAUUA
rnacentral:lncRNA from 1 species